GUUUAGACUCUGUACAGUGAAUUAUCCAGUGUGAGUGAAGCGGGUGAGAACCCCGCACUGUGCCGCAACGGUAAACUGAGUGUUCUUCCAUCAGUAAGUCCGACCCUCCCUGGUGUUUUAUCCCG
rnacentral:ncRNA from 2 species